UACGUAGGGUGCAAGCGUUUGUCCGGAAUUAUUGGGCGUAAAGGGCUCGUAGGCGGUUUGUCGCGUCGGGAGUGAAAACUCAGGGCUUAACCCUGAGCCUGCUUCCGAUACGGGCAGACUAGAGGUAUGCAGGGGAGAAUGGAAUUCCUGGUGUAGCGGUGAAAUGCGCAGAUAUCAGGAGGAACACCGGUGGCGAAGGCGGUUCUCUGGGCAUUACCUGACGCUGAGGAGCGAAAGUGUGGGGAGCGAACAGG
rnacentral:rRNA from 1 species